GGCCAUGCUGAAAAGAUAGGCAGUCUUACGCAUUGGAUUGUUUAGGCUUAGUAAGAUACCAGAUUUUAAAAGUAUAAAAUUCCAGGUUCACCUGUGGGAUGUUGAUACUGAUUUUCCCAACCUUAAUCUCACUACCUGGUUAUCCCCAGAUAUAGCAGGUGGGUGGCUAGAAUAUGCGGUAGGGUGGUGAACAUCCACCUACGUAGGGCUGUCAGGCUUUUAGUUGUCAGAUGAUCAUUCUCCUGAAAAUGGAAAAUCUCUCAUUCACCUUCCUUUUCACAGGAGCAGCUUAAACCUGAACAUCAGAGUUGGAGAAUAGAAAGCAGUAAUUCUGGGACACAAACCCAUAUACUUUGUUCAGAGAAUCUGAGUCAUGAGGAAGGAAGGUGCCUGGUGCUACCAACACUGGGAAUACGCAGUCAGUUAUUCUCCAAAUUUAAUAUUCUAUGGUUUCUCCCCUACCCACUCAUCUCCCGAGUGGAUUCAUUCCAGGGUUAAUCACUAUUUAUGACAGCUUUAGGAAAUACUGAGGAGGGACAGUUUCUGGUGGAGUAGUGAAGAUCUUUACGAGAUCUUUAUCCUGACCAACCCCCCCCCCCCAAAAAAUAGGGGGAGAAAUAAAAGUGGAAAGAGAAAGACAGAGACAGAGACUGGCAGAGAUUACUUGUUGGGAGGGUAGGGUAAAAUAAGUAAUUUAGAACAAUCCCCUGAGCUGGGGAUCGUACUUCCCUAGGAGUAACUCGUUCUCUCAACCACCUGGUAAGUUUUUCCCAAAAAACACAACAGGUCUGGACACCUUCCCUGCAGUUUCUGACUUGGGAUAUGAGGGUGGCCUCAUUGAGCUGCGGUUCAUAAAGGGAUGCCCUGGUGAGUCCUGGUGAAAGGACCACCCCUUUGGAGAUGAAUGUCUUUAUAUAGGCCAAGUCAGUCUCCCUGGCUAGUUAGCUACAAUCAUCUUUUUUCCUGGGGCUUUGGAACUUUGGAUCAUUUUGCACUUUCUCCUUGUACAUUCUUGGAGAAGAGGUUCAAAUUCUCUCAGGAUACUGAUGGUUUAAUUAGAUUCUCAGGCUUAAAACACCAUGAUCCUAAAUAAAGAAGGAAAGGAAAGGAAGGAAAGUGUAGGAAGGAAGGAAGAAAGAAAAGGGAGGGAGGGAAGGAAGGAAGGGAGGAAGGGGAGGAGGGAGGGAGGGAAGAAGGAAGGAAGGAAGGGGAGGGAGGAAGGAGGAGGCAGGUGGUAGGUGGGCAGGCAGGCAUGGAGCAUCACAGUCUAAAACUGUAGCUACAGCGCCACCUGCUGUUAGGCAUGAAACACUGGCAGGUGAACCACAUCGCUGUGAAAACCUAAAAUGUUCCUAACAUAUGCCCGGAAACUACCAGAAGCAAUGAAGGCACUGGAAACUCAGAUGUUGCCGAGAAAACAGGGCAUGAGUGAAGAAAACCCAUCUCAAGCAAACAAUCCUCGACUUCACCCUGCGAAGACUAAUUGUUAGAGACGGAUGUAAACAAAAGAUUCUCUUUUGAGAGAUACACGCAAGGUAUUAAGCGUGACCACUUCCUACGCCGUACUUCUGUCUUGCUAGCUGCUGGGUUUUGCUAAGCCUUGACUUUUAACGAGCACUACUACAAGUGAGCAGUUACAUUUUAAAUGUUGUCGGCUUGUUCAAACCUUGCUGCACAAGUAUUAAUAAGAGGCAAAUUAAAAGGGGUUUUGAGACCAACUACUGUAAGGUAAAUCUAGGUGAUGUGGCCUCUGAUGUGAUCGUUUUUAAGAACAAUCAGCUGGAUACGAGCAUGUGCAAAGCUACACAGACUCCUGUGUGCCUGAUCCGCCUGGCAGAAGUAUGGGAGCUGAGAUGUUGUUUGUGGCUUGGAAUUGAGUUUUCUCUUUUGCAAGAAGACACAUCUAAGGUACAUCCUCAUGAUGCCCCCAACCUCACCCCACCCAAAGGCAAGGUACAAAGCUUACUGUUAUGUGUAGAGCUAGAAACACCCAGAACAGACCUGGUUGUAGGUAGUCUCACUGGUAGGGGCAGAAAUCCCUUAAACUGGACAAAAUCCAGGCUCUAGCUCAGUCCUGAGGCCACGGUCGAAACAUCAAGAAGCCUUAUUUCCUCACCCUAAAGUGAGGCAAACUUCUCUACCUCUUCCCUACACAUCCCAUGCAACUAGGUCAUGCCAACCAGAUAAAGGCAGUUGUUGUCUUCCUAACUCGUUGUUCAAACCAUGCCUGGAUUCCUCUCAAUUUCAUUGGUUGGUAAAAUUUACAAAAGCAAUGGAAACUCAUACCAAGAGUGAUGUUCGAAAUGUAGUCAUCCAAGGAUACUAUCAGCAUAAUUGAAUAGGGUCAAACAUGACUUAUGACAUUAGAAGGAGACACCUGGAUGUUUCAGGGGUCUUAUUGUGGUAGGAGGGGGGCAAGUGAGGCCCCGCCAUUCCCAAUGCCAACUCAAAAGUACUACCUGAAGUCAUCCUGACUUUCCAGCAAUCUUCAGCGAUUCAGCGGGCACCACACCCUCUGGCAGUGAAUCACCUUGCUAAACUUUCUGACUCAACCAAGGUGGACUUUGAGAUUUAGAACCAUGGGGGAGGGGGUGCUUCUGGAAGAGAAAUGAAUCUCCCUGGAGUCACAACUGUCUGGUGUUAGUAAUGACUGACUCCCUUUUGUGCCUUGUUGACUCCUCCAGCUGUCUGCUCCCCUCCCUGCCUCUAGCCAGCUGCUACCCCAAGUCUUGAAGUCACCGGGUAGAGAGGCAAGGAGCAUAUUUGGAAACAAACAUUUAAAUCAAUACAAUCAGUGGAACUGACAAGUCAGAGGGGAGUCAAAAAAAAAUCAACUUUUACCUGCUUGCCAUUGUGAGUUACCGAUGACAAGAUGGUUCUCAGUGUCUUGAAUCCCAUGGCAAUGUCAAGAAGAUGAGCAGCAAAAAAAAAGUUGUUAUAGUGUCCCAGAACGGACAUAGUCAUAUACCAGGCCAGGUAGAGGAAAGACUGAGAAGACAAACGAGAGGGAAGCAUAUCAGAAACCAGAAGGAGUGACUGUUGUCCAAAGCUACUCUGAUUUCAUUCCAUUAUAAUCACUUCAUUUACUUUA